CCUACGGGUGGCUGCAGUCGAGAAUCAUUCACAAUGGGGGAAACCCUGAUGGUGCGACGCCGCGUGGGGGAAUGAAGGUCUUCGGAUUGUAAACCCCUGUCAUGUGGGAGCAAAUUAAAAAGAUAGUACCACAAGAGGAAGAGACGGCUAACUCUGUGCCAGCAGCCGCGGUAAUACAGAGGUCUCAAGCGUUGUUCGGAAUCACUGGGCGUAAAGCGUGCGUAGGCUGUUUCGUAAGUCGUGUGUGAAAGGCGCGGGCUCAACCCGCGGACGGCACAUGAUACUGCGAGACUAGAGUAAGGGAGGGGGAACCGGAAUUCUCGGUGUAGCAGUGAAAUGCGUAGAUAUCGCGAGGAACACCGGUGGCGAAGGCGGGUUACGGGACCGUAACUGACGCUGAGGCACGAAGGCGAGGGGAGCGAAAGGGAUUAGAUACCCGUGUAGUC
rnacentral:rRNA from 1 species